rnacentral:rRNA from 1 species
GGGAAUCUUCCACAAUGGACGCAAGUCUGAUGGAGCAACGCCGCGUGAGUGAAGAAGGUUUUCGGAUCGUAAAGCUCUGUUGUUGGUGAAGAAGGAUAGAGGCAGUAACUGGCCUUUAUUUGACGGUAAUCAACCAGAAAGUCACGGCUAACUACGUGCCAGCAGCCGCGGUAAUACGUAGGUGGCAAGCGUUGUCCGGAUUUAUUGGGCGUAAAGCGAGCGCAGGCGGAAGAAUAAGUCUGAUGUGAAAGCCCUCGGCUUAACCGAGGAACUGCAUCGGAAACUGUUUUUCUUGAGUGCAGAAGAGGAGAGUGGAACUCCAUGUGUAGCGGUGGAAUGCGUAGAUAUAUGGAAGAACACCAGUGGCGAAGGCGACUCUCUGGUCUGCAACUGACGCUGAGGCUCGAAAGCAUGGGUAGCGAACAGGAUUAGAUACCCUGGUAGUCCAUGCCGUAAACGAUGAGUGCUAAGUGUUGGGAGGUUUCCGCCUCUCAGUGCUGCAGCUAACGCAUUAAGCACUCCGCCUGGGGGAGUACGACCGCAAGGUUGAAAC